rnacentral:rRNA from 1 species
AACACGUGGAUAAUCUGUCUUAGAGUGGGGAAUAACUCGGGGAAACCUGAGCUAAUACCGCAUACGCUUCCCGGGCUGCGGCCCGGGUCGGAAGGGUGACCUCUUCAUGAAAGUUGCCACUCUUCGAGGAGUCCGCGUCUGAUUAGCUUGUUGGUGGGGUAAUGGCCUACCAAGGCGGCGAUCAGUAGCCGGCCUGAGAGGGCGAUCGGCCACACUGGAACUGAGACACGGUCCAG